AUAUUUCUGGUAAUUUCUGACAAGACCCGACUGGCAACACUGCAAAUAAUCACUAGUGGUCAUACGCCAACGUCACUCGCCCGAAGCCAUAAAAAAGAAAACAAAAACUUCCGGUUCCGGAAGAAAAAACAGCCAAGUGUUUUGCACUUUUGCAGCAUACUCUCUAAUUUGUGUUUUGCAGUGCACAAAAUCAGUGGUAGAACGUAGAACCUACAAGUUUUUUUGUUUUGCACGGUGUUUUAUUUAAUAAACGCUUCUGUUGUGCGAAUUGGACGCGUGACGUGCUGAAGAUUAAAGACUUUGCAUAAUGGAAUCAAAAAAAUUUUUUUUGGUUACAUUUUUAGAUGAAGAUGAUGCUCCUGGCAUAGUUUCAUCAAAGUGGUUAAGAUACCAACACUUGUUAUUACCCUAAUGUAUGCACUGAAGAAAUCAAAAACAAACUUGAAGAAGAUGCCUGCACCUGAAGCAACAUGGUCACAAUAUCAAAUAAAAAUACUUAAAAGUUAUGAAACUUAUGGUGAAGCACGAUUACAUUUAAAAAAAGCGGAAGAAACCUGAAAUUUGGACUCAGACGAAGCAGAAAAUGAUGUUACAAAUGAAGUGACAGUGGACAUAAUGUCUGCUGUAAAUUACCCAGUCACCUCCGGUUCUAAAGAGGCCAAGCAAACACAACUCAAAGCUGUUAACUGCCAAUCAGAGUGCAUUACAAACAAGCAAUAUGCUAUACAGCAGAGUCAUAUGAUUCAGAUUGUGUCAGACCUAGCUAACCAAAUGGCUGAAAUCAAUAGAAAAUUGGAUUUACCGUUAGCUAGGUCCGAAGAAACAUUUUCACCAACAGAUGACAAUGCAGGUCUUUCAGAACUUUUGGCAAGUCUACCAGUAAAGAUAUUGCAAGUUUUAAUAAUUUCGAUGACCAUUUAAAAAUAAACAAGAAUACAGGCAAUAAUGUCAUUUUUGUCUGGUAUUGGCGGCAGAAAUGUAAGAAGCCUUACGACUAAUAUGUUGAGACGAAUAAUUCUAGAUGAUGUAGCCGAGUUGUAUUCGUUAACUGGGAAACAGAUGAAAAAUUUGAAUAAAAAGUCAUUUAUGAGUACAGAAACCUAUAAAUUAAUCUUUCAAAUAUGUAGAAAAAUCAACGAAGAUGUAACUGAAGACAGUCUAAAAGAAAUUAUAAGUGAUUGGCUAAAUCAAGCUAAAGUUAGACUUUCAAGAAGAGCAGAAACACAAAAUAAAGAAAAAAACCAAUAGCGGCGACCAUGAAACCGAUUUUUUCUCAUUUAAAGUAAGAUAAGAUAAAAGUAUAAAUAAUAAAAAAAUAUAUGUUA